rnacentral:rRNA from 1 species
AACCUGGGAACUGCAUUCGAAACUGGCAGGCUUGAGUCUUGUAGAGGGGGGUAGAAUUCCAGGUGUAGCGGUGAAAUGCGUAGAGAUCUGGAGGAAUACCGGUGGCGAAGGCGGCCCCCUGGACAAAGACUGACGCUCAGGUGCGAAAGCGUGGGGAGCAAACAGGAUUAGAUACCCUGGUAGUCCACGCCGUAAACGAUGUCUACUUGGAGGUUGUGCCCUUGAGGCGUGGCUUCCGGAGCUAACGCGUUAAGUAGACCGCCUGGGGAGUACGGCCGCAAGGUUAAAACUCAAAUGAAUUGACGGGGGCCCGCACAAGCGGUGGAGCAUGUGGUUUAAUUCGAUGCAACGCGAAGAACCUUACCUGGUCUUGACAUCCACAGAAGAAUCCAGAGAUGGAUUUGUGCCUUCGGGAACUGUGAGACAGGUGCUGC